UGCCAUGUGAUUGCGCCGGACAAGACAUUGGGAAGUCAAUUACGGCGGCCGAAUGUGCAAUCUUUGAUCAAGCCUUGUGGAGUAAUUCGAGAGAUGAAUUCCACGAAAAAACGAACAAAUGGCUCGCAUAACUUCAGCGCUUCUGCCAAACCAAACAGCGUGUCAGUGAGUUAUGUGACUGGUGCACCAAGAAGGCGGAGAAGGAGGGGCGGUGAGGUGAGGUGAGCCGAGGACAGGAUAUGAAAAGGAGAGAGUGCACUCAAGGACACGACUAUGGCAAGACAAAGAAAGUCUGAGGAGCAAAAGAAAAACCUCCAAGAGGAAGGAAGGGCACGUUUGCUCCGUGGCCGAGGUCCAAGUAGCUGAAUAGUAAUAAUUAUUAUUAUUAAGGCGCUGUGCAUAUAUGGUUGAUGACCGAAUGAUAUCUUGCGCUUUCACCACGGGAACUAAGCACCACGCAGUCAAUCAUUGGAGCGACGCACGAUCCCUGAGCCAAGAGAGAAUUUGUGGAAAGGUCUCAAGGGUAAGCACAGGAAGAAUCAGAAAAAGAUUGAGAUCCAACGGGCAUGUGUCAGCACAUCCGUUUCCAAUCGACAACUUGGAUUCAUUUGGGUUUGAAACUAGCUGGUACCCAAAACAACGGGUUGAAGUGGCGCAACAAGCGGAAACACGUCUUUUGCUUCCCAAAACUAGGACACGGCGCUCCGGUAAACAUGACGGCAGCGGCAGGCAGAGCAAAAGUGUUGUAAUGGCCGCCGGCGCGUUCAUCGUAUGAGUCACAUUUUGAAAACACCUGCUGCUCACAGCUGGAAAACAACUACACUUCCAUGAAUCACACAGGUGGAGGACAUAAAUUCACACCUGACUAGCUGUUAUCCGAAACCUCAAGUCUUGGCGCUAACUUUAAAAUUCCUGGAAAGUCCAAACAAAGCUUAGGUACAUUCGAAAUACCCCCCCACCCCACCCUGUUUUUUUCUUCACAUGCCUCCACUUACGCUUGCGUAACGUCAACUCACAAACAAAAUGUACCGGCCGGAUUCAGUGAUGCAUGGGGAGCAAAAGGUCACACGCACAAAAGCGAUCUCCGAAGCAAAAUAAUGACGGUCGUAUCAGCUGCAAUGUGGGGGGGGG